rnacentral:lncRNA from 1 species
UCAUCCACAAACAACUCAACCACAACGAUCCAACUACGACAAUAUAGGCACCGAACUCAAUUACGGCAGCGUAGUUGACGACAAUCCUACAGCUAUUAGGGAGAAAUGAUGACAAAUUUGUCAAAUAACACUGGACCUUCACACCAACCAUCAUUACAUCAUGUCAGCACUCAAAAACAUCAAACACCUCAGAAAAAUCA